UGGGGAAUAUUGCACAAUGGGCGCAAGCCUGAUGCAGCAACGCCGCGUGAACGAUGAAGGUCUUCGGAUCGUAAAGUUCUGUUGCAGGGGAAGAUAAUGACGGUACCCUGUGAGGAAGCCCCGGCUAACUACGUGCCAGCAGCCGCGGUAAUACGUAGGGGGCUAGCGUUAUCCGGAUUUACUGGGCGUAAAGGGUGCGUAGGUGGUCUUUCAAGUCGGUGGUUAAAGGCUACGGCUCAACCGUAGUUAGCCUCCGAAACUGGAAGACUUGAGUGCAGGAGAGGAAAGUGGAAUUCCCAGUGUAGCGGUGAAAUGCGUAGAUAUUGGGAGGAACACCAGUAGCGAAGGCGGCUUUCUAGACUGCAACUGACACUGAGGCACGAAAGCGUGGGUAGCAAACAGG
rnacentral:rRNA from 1 species